UCCCCGGGGCCCGGGGCCCGAGCGCUGCUGAGGUGGCCCUUCGGUUCCAAGAGUGUCCUUUGCCGGCUAAACACGGCGUCUGGGCGGCGAUGGCCUGUCGGGUGGCGUGUUCUUAUCCUCCGACGCGUGCUCCUCGUAUGUCCAGUCUCCGGGCCUCUGAGCCUGGGCAGCCCCCCAGCUUGCAAGCGCUCCGUGGGCGCCCACGCAGGUGGCACCUGCGCAGGAAUUUGACAAGGAAGCCAAGUGAAGAAAGUUGAACCCGCAUGGAGAGAGGAGCCUUGGGGUUCCCUCUUCCCUCUGCUUGAUCCCAGUGAGAUGGGGUAACGUCACACGGCGGCUCUGCCUCCUACCCCGAGGCUCAUCUGACUGUGCGGACACAGAGGCCGGACCCCGAGGCCAUAGCUCUCUCAGCUCACCCCUGCACGGCUUUGAAGCCUUGGCCCGUGGCGUCGCCAAAGACACAGUCUGGACCAGCAGUCAGCAGUUGUUUUUGCUUCUGCUUCCUGUCCCGGGUGGCGCGUUGCAUCCAGCCAUGAGAUGUGGCCUGGAAAAACAAACCAAAAAACCAAAACCAAAGAGCCACGGCAGUUCAGCGCUAUCAUUCUUCCUCACAGUGAUGGUGUUUAACUUACGAGUAGUAAAAAAGAGAAACAUCUAUCAGUGGGGCGCACAUCUCACCAAAUAUCAAGCCGACCAAAAUUACGUGUUAGAAUCCCGGCUUCCCUUGAAGUCUGGGAGAGAUCUUGUAAGUUUCCCUCCUGGGCAUGGAAGAGAAAACGCUCUUUUUCCCAGGGAGAAGUGAAGGCCCCAGUGAAUGCAGCUUUGCCCCGGGCUCACCGUGGGCCAGGCAGGCGGCCAGCCAUCACGAAAGGCGCGCUGGAUGUGCCGAGUGCUGCAGAAGCAUGCAGCGAAGAGACAGACAGGGACAGAUCUGGAAGCUGCGCGUGGAACUUUGGUCCUUGUAAUUCUAAACCCUGUUUAUUCGAUUCUUAAAAUCCUCUUCUGAACAUGUGGUGAGUCAUGGCCUCUGAUCCUGGCUUGUCUGUUGGUAUUCUGUGAAGCUGCUUGAGUCCUGGAGGAGCAAAGGAAUAAGUGCCAUUUUGGUUUUAAUUAAAUUUUGAAAAAGAUUCAACCAUAUCCUGCUUCUUCCUUCCAUCAGGGAUCCUACAAUUAUUAAAUUAGGCUGGUGGUGUCUACUUUCAGAAUCAUGAAUUUUUACCAGCAGAUAAUUUCUCUUUUCUAUUGUUGGAUAUUUUCUUGGUGCAUUUUACGGCUAUCAUCUUUGGCAGAGCUAAUCUGGUUUUCUUCAGCCACAGUUCUGCUCGUUAAUCCAUUUAUGGAUUUUUACAUAGUUUCUCCUUCCUGGGAUGGUUGGGGAGUGUAUUACAUGGGAGGUUUUUUUUUUCCCAAAGCCAUUUAGCAGAGCUAGUUCCUCUUUUUUUUUUUUUUUUUUUUUUUUUUUUUUUCUGUUCAUAGGAUGUGUCUGAACCCCUCCUGCCUGCUGGCUUUUUGAAAAUUUAUUUCAGGUCCUGGCUGAGAUGACAUUCGAUGAACAUAUUCACACAAUGAACACAUUUCCUAAAAGGUUCUGAACCUAUGAGUCCUACAAAUUGGUGGUUGGAUUUGGAGGCUCCAUCAGAUUCAAAUUUUAUAUUUUUGCAAGAAAUGCCUUUUAGAUGGUUUUCUCUACCUCAGUAAAGAAUGACCAGGCAAUACUCUUUGAAAAUUGGAGACCAUUUGCAGCUGCUCUCUGUUGAGGAAAGUGAAUAAUAGGGUGCCCUCAAGGAAUUUCGAAGGUAUCACUCAACAGAAACUUUUGUGUCUGAAGAAAACUAGAUCAUUUUAUCAUGAGCUUAUAUGUAUUUCUUUAUAUUGAGAUAUAUAAUGAACUGACGAAUAAAAAUCUAGAGAGUCUGGAAGUUUCCCUUGCCCUUGACCAGGAACAAGCUGUGGACGCCUUUAAGAUCUGUGCCGAUGCAGGUACUGUUACCCAGAGAUAAAAAGUUGCAGCACAGAGAAUAUUUGUUUUGCUGGAGGUUUAUAGGAACGUUGUGACCUGGCCUGUGUGGACAGUUGCACGAAAAAAGGAUUCCUACACCAACAAGUUUGCAACAACCAACCACCCCCCUCCUUCACCUGAUCUUUAAAAAUGCUUUGCUGAAACCCUUGGAGGCGUUCAGGAUCUUUGGCACAUGAGUCGCCCAUCUCCUAGCGAGGCCCAGCAAUAAACCUUCCUCUGCGCCAAACUCUGACCUUGUGUUUGGCUUCAUUGUGCAUUCGAGAACAUGUUAACUUUUACUCCUCAGAACAACUCUGUGAGUUAGAUCUCUUUAGUAUUCCCAUUUUUAUAGGCAAGACAAUGGAUGCACAGAGAGGUUAAGCAAUUCGACCAAUGUCACACAGCCAAAAGGGGCAGAGCCACUAUUUUAAACCAGGUAGAAGAGGAAAGUGAGUGACUUUUCUAGAAGCUGAGAAACAUUCAGGGUAAAUGUGAAGGAGGAAUUUUUGUUUCGAAGAGGCAUCUGGAGUGCUGAAAGAGCCAGGAAGAUUGUGAAGCCAUUUUUUUUUUUUUAAAGUCUUAAGUUAAUGUGGCCUGACAGCAUUGCUUUAGAAGCAGUAGAGCAGCAAAUACCUUUCUCAUACUUAGCCCCAUUGGGCGCUGCACUUGAAAUGAGCUCCAAGAGAACAGGAGAGGCAGAUGCAUGUCUCAGAUUCCUGGCAUCAUCAGGCACUGGUCCAGGUUGCUACCACACCCACUUUCAUGUCUGUUUUAUAGCUGAGGAAAUGGAUUCAGAGAAACUAAGCAACGUUCCCGAAGUCCCACAGCGACAAAGUUGCAGAAAUGGGAUUCAGACUGCAGGUCUGAUAAAUUCCGAAGGCCAUGUUCUUUUUAGAAUACCGUAUUGCACCUCUCCAAAGAGAUAUACCAG
rnacentral:lncRNA from 1 species